rnacentral:lncRNA from 1 species
AGAGCUUGGCUGAAAGUGCUAUGAAGACUUCCUGAGUCUUUUCCUCAGCUUCCUUUGUGUGCUGCAAAGCUAGACUGAAUGAGCACCCAGAGAGAGAGGGGUGACUCAUGUAGGUCAGGAAGCUGGUUUCAGUGGCUUGAGGGACUGGUCUCUGCCCCUAUUGUGAGUGAGACUGAUGGAGCUACAGGACAGACGAAGUCUUUGUUGAGGACGUCAAGAGCCUGGACACCUUCCACCAUUAACAUAUUUUGGCGAGCCAGCCAGAAGGAAGAGUUUUCCACCAUAAGGGAUAUAAUCCAGUACAGCCCAAUACUUGGCCAAGAGAAGGUGCUCAAUCAGUGUGCAUAGAAUGAAUGAAGAGCAAACCACCAUGGCACAUGUAUACC